rnacentral:lncRNA from 1 species
UUUAUUUGACAGAGAGAGUACAAGUAGGGGGAGCGGCAGGCAGAGGGAGAGGGAAAAGCAGACUCUUCACUGAACAGGGAGCCCAACAUGGGGCUCGAUCUCAGGACCCUGGAACCAUGACUUCAGCCAAAGGCAGAGGCUUAACCAACUCAGUCAUCCAUUAACUUCUAAUUGAAAUGAUGAGUGUAGGUGACAAGCUGCAAAAGUGCUAGCAGUACUUGUGACUUUAUCAAUAACAGAAAUCACAGAGAUUUACAGGGUGCCUGGGUGGCUCAGUCGGUUAAGUGUCUGCCUUCGGUUCAGGUCAUGAUCCCAGGGUCCUGGGAUGGAGCCCCGCAUCAGGCUCCCCAUUCAGCAGGGCAUCUGCUUCUCCCUCUCCUUCUGCCCUUCCCUUUGCUUGUGCUCAUGCUCGCUCACUCUCUCUUUCUCAGUCACUCUCUCUCAAACAAAUAAAAAUUUUUAAAGAUUUUAUUUAUUUGUUCAUGAGGGAGAGAGAGAGAGAGACAGGGACAGAGACAGAGACAGAGACACAGACAGAGAGAGAAGCAGACUUCCUGCCAAGGAGCCCACUGUGGGACUCGAUCCCGAAUCCCGGGAUCACGCCCUGAGCCAAAGGCAGACGCUCAACCGCUGAGCCACCCAGGCAUCCCAACAAAUAAAAUCUUAAAAAAAAAAAAAGAAAUCACAGAGAUUUACAUAUCAUAUGACAAUUGUUGCAGGGUAUCUCAGCAUUUCACUUACACUCUUUGAAAAUUAUCGUAAUCAUUAGCAUUGCUGUUAGAUCUUGUAAUUUAAAAGGUGUUAGCAAAGAAACAUGUAUAUUGCCAUAUCACUGUUUAAACAAUAUUUUGGUAACUGUAUUUCUGUACAAUUGUUUUCCUUUGUAAGUCUACCUUAUCUGAAGCAUUUAAAAAUAAUAUUCUGGAAAAGGCCGGGAACUCCAAUGUCCCAAGGGGGUCACUUUCACUUUAGGUCCCUGCCCUAUCUUCUUUCAACUCGCCCUGUGUUGCCUCCGUGGCGUGUCUGCCAAGCCUCAUGUUCAACUCUUAAUCUCUGACAGUAUGGGGAGUUAAAUAAGGCAGAAAACUUGGAAGCAUGUUCUGAAGACUACUGGGUGCUAUAGUACACUUGGGUGCUACAGAAUGACACUGCCAGUAAAUGGCCCAGGCUCUCUUCUGCAUCACUGCAUGGCAGAAAUACUGGCUUGACAAAGCCUGCCCAGUUUAAUCUGCCUUGCUGGGCCUAAUCCUUUCACCUCUCUGGGCCUCAGUUUCCCCACUUGUGCUAUGAAGGGUUUGGACUAGAUGGUGUUCUUAUGACAGCCUGAGUUUAUCUUCUGCAGCAUCUUCCUCCAUAACAUCCCUAGAAAGACGCUCAGUAGCACUAGGCACCUCCUGCCCUUGGCACCAGAUUUGAGAGGCCUCCCAACAAUUUCCUGCAAUGUGGUAGAGGGGGAAAGGUGCUUUCCCCAAAUCUCCAAAUGCCACCCACAGCUUUUCUUCACUUCCUUGCUUUUGCCCAUAUAGCUCCCUCUGUCCAGAAGAGCCUCCCCGUGUCUGUCAAGGACACCACCCUAAGCCGGGCAUCAGGACAAAGCUGUCAUGGGUUACUCUCUGAACUCCCGGGGCACCAGGCAUGGUGCACCUUUUAUUGUGAUCUUCCUAUACAUAUGUGUGCUGCCCCUAACUAAGGGGCGAACUCCUUUAGGACCCAGCUUUCAUUCUUUUCAGCAUCCCCCAGGGCCCAGCCCAGUUCCUUUAUCAGUGGGCAUCAAGGCGGAGAUAGAUAGUGGCUGGUGUCAUUAGAACGGUCCUGUGGUUGAGUGGGCGCUAAGGAAUCAAUCCCCCUGGAGUCAAAUCCUGGCUCUGAGACUUACUAAUAGGUUAUUUCUUCCAAGUGACAACACCUCUGAGCCUUGAUGUCUUCAUCUAUGAAAUUGGGAAAUAGUGCCCACUUCGUGUAAAGGUUCAGGAGCAAAUACAAGUAGAGUGCUGGACACUUAAAACCAUGAGUCAUAAUUUUUGUGUAAAAACAUUUACUGUGGGGGCACCUGUGUGGUUCAGUAGGAUAAGCGUCUGCCUUGGGCUCAGGUCAUCAUGAUCCUGAGGUCCUGAGAUCGAGCCCCACGUCAGGCUCCCUGCUCAGCGGGGAGCCUGCUUCUUCCUCUCCCUCUGCCUCUCCUUCUGGCUCGUGCUCUCUCUCACUCGCUUGCUCUCAAAUGAAUAAAUAAAAUAUUUUUAAAAAAUUACUGUGCGCCAAGCUUGUAAUCUUUAUGACAUACCUCUGAAGUAGGUGUUAUUAUGGAGCUCCCUAACUUACAGAUAGGGAAACUGAUGCCAAGAGAUGUCAGGCUAUUUGUCCAGGGUCAUAAAGAAAGCAAAUGACAAAGUGAGGAUUCAAACCCAGGGUGAGUGGCCCCAGGGUCCAUGCACUUAACCACUCCGCAAACCAUGCUGCCUCUCAACAGCUAGCAUUAUCGUCUUUCUUCUGCCAGUGCAGAGCGAUCGUAGGUGCAGAGAGAACUAGGUCAAAUGGCAGGCUGCCUUCCUCUAGCUCGCCUUCUGCUGCUCCCAGGUGCUUGCGAUCUGCAAGGCACACAUUUUUGUUUCCUCUUCCCUCUGGUUGACUUUCACAGUCUGACCCUGCUGGCUUCCUGCCCCCCCACCCCGGCCCAGUCCUGCCCUUGUAUGCCCAUCUGUGUUGCCCACCCCGUGGUCAGCAAGACGGUGAGAGAGACGAAGGAAGAAGAGUCCAUAUGCUCCUUGUAGACAGACUGUUUGACGCGGAAAAAAAGACCUGCCCACACAUUUUUGGGUUUUCAUGAAUUUCCACCUCUUGGCGGUAAUAUACGGUGCGGUCAAGACAAUCAAUAAUUUAACCUGGGUCCCAAGAGUGAGUCCUCUGUGCCAUUAACAUUCCCAGCCCAACCUCCCUAGUAGAAUUAUAGACUAUUUGAGCUGCAAUAGGCCUCAGGGACACAGAGGGAAGAAUCAGGACUCAGGAAAGGGAAGGGACUCAUCAAGGUUACACAUAGUAAGUGUUAAAUAA